AUGCCCUACCCUAGAGAUGCCCUGCCCCCAUGGACUAUUAGGCACAUCCACCUCCUGAACCCUGGUGGCCCUGGGGCCACCUGGAACUCCUCCACCUGCAACACUUGGCUAUUUUGUAUGCACGAGGGCCUGGUCCUUUCCCAGGAUUGCUUUGCAGGCUGUACCCCAUGGACCACCCUUCACUACCAGUCAUGGGCUAUAGGCCACAUCCCUCUCCUCCCCCUACUCUAUUUGUUAAGAUGACCUGAACUGGAUGAAAUGCUGGACAACUCUUUUGAAAUUUGAAGAGGACUGUGCACGGUGACAGACAAUCGUGUUUGUAUAUACAUUUUAAGAAGGUGUCAGAUCUACCUGAAUGCUUUCCCUGCCCAUCCUGUCCCCUCCACUUUGUCCUUCCUACUGUCCCCUAAUCCACCUUUCAUCGUUUUGCCUCUGUGCCAGCGUCUGCUUCUAGGGCCAUCUACUCUCACUCCUCCUCGAGUGCACACAUGGGUUCCUGUACACACAGGUAACAAACUGGCAGAAAUGGUGGUGAUGAAGGAUAGAAGCAAGAUCACCCUUUGUGGCAGGGGAGCCUGAGGGAGUUUUCUGGGGUGAUGGGAACUUCCUAUAUCUAGAUUGAUGGGGUGCUUAUGCUCAAUUAUUUUGGAAAUAUUCCCUGACUCCAUGGUGCCUUGGGGUCACACAAGUAUCUGUCCCUAGGAAAUGGCUGAGUUCUAAUGGUGGAGAAGGAUGAGGGACCAGCAGUGACUGUCGAGAGGAAUGAGGGUCAGACCAACGCCCAGGAUACCAGGUCUCCACAGACAGCACCACGUGUAGGAGGACUCUGAGGAGCAGAGAUUUCUUGAUCAGACCCAUGAACUACAUAAUCCUCUUGCAGUUUCCUCACUGAGCGAUGGCCAAAGAAGAGGCCAGCAGCUGGAGGACACCCUGAUCAUGGCUGGAGUGGAGCAGUGGCCUGGGGAUUGAGUCAGGGAAAGGGACAGGAGGAAGGUAGCGACAGGGAGUUUGAGAGAAAGGGAACAGAAGAGAAGGGACGCUUGUCUGCUGACUUCACCUACAAUUCUGUGUGACCAAAACGAGACCCUUGUCUCCCAGGCAAGGGAAGAGGGCUGGCAAAAAGACAGAGUGACAUACUCAGCUCAAGUGCCCAGGAUAUCUGCCUUGCUCUUGAGUACCAUAACACAGAAACACGUGCUUCUGUCACGAUGGGAACUGCAGCUCGUACCAUUUAGUGAAAAUCAAUCCAAUUAUGCAUCCCUCAGCAUUAAAGUACUGCAACAAAAUUAAGUGAACAGACUGAAAGAUACAACACAGGAUAAAGUCCAAAGGUAUACUGACUGCAAUACUUAUGGGAAUACAGUCUAUUAGAAGAGGAGGUAGGUACCCUAUUGCAGGCCUUCAGACACCUGGGCAAUAUCUGAAAAUGUAAAAAAUAAAUGUAGUCCUUACUUCA
rnacentral:lncRNA from 1 species